rnacentral:rRNA from 1 species
CCUACGGGCGGCAGCAGUGGGGAAUAUUGCACAAUGGGGGAAACACUGAUGCAGCGAAGCCGCGUGAGGGAAGAAGUAUUACGGUAUGUAAAGCUCUAUCAGCCGGGAAGAAAAUGACGGUACCUGAUUAAGAAGCCCCGGCUAACUACGUGCCAGCAGCCGCGGUACUACGUAGGGGGCAAGCGUUAUCCGGAUUUACUGGGUGUAAAGGGAGCGUAGACGGCAGCGCAGGUCUGAAGUGAAAUGCCGGGGCUUAACCCCGGAACUGCCUUUGAAACUGGGCAGCUAGAGUGAAGGAGAGGUAAGUGGAAUUCCUGGUGUAGCGGUGAAAUGCGUAGAUAUUAGGCGGAACACCAGUGGCGAAGGCGGCUUACUGGACUGUAACUGACGUUGAGGCACGAAAGCGUGGGUAGCAAACAGGAUUAGAUACCCCUGUAGUC